UAGCUCAAAUGUGUGAUUGCUCUUCUGGA
rnacentral:piRNA from 1 species